UCAUCAUCACCAUUCAACUGAAUAAUCUUUCAGGCGUUUGGUGCUGCUUGGAAGAUAAAAAAACUUCCGAGAGUACGAAUACAAAAUAACACCCUUCGGAAGUCAUUCUGAAGGGUUUUUUAUU
rfam:Gallibacterium salpingitidis strain F150 contig000028, whole genome shotgun sequence.